GCACUGCUGAUGAGUACCAAACAGGACGAAACAGCUGUCCAGUGC
rnacentral:hammerhead_ribozyme from 1 species